rnacentral:rRNA from 1 species
UACGUAGGGGGCGAGCGUUGUCCGGAGUUACUGGGCGUAAAGGGCGUGCAGGCGGUGGGGCGCGUUUUGUGUGACAGCGCGAGGCUUAACUUCGCGAGGAUACGAAAGACGGCCGCACUUGAGAGCGCGAGAGGGACACGGAAUUCCGGGUGGAGUGGUGAAAUGCGUAGAGAUCCGGAGGAACACCGAAGGCGAAGGCAGUGUCCUGGCGCGCAUCUGACGCUGAGGCGCGAAAGCCAGGGGAGCGAACGGG